UACGAAGGGGGCUAGCGUUGCUCGGAAUCACUGGGCGUAAAGAGCUCGUAGGCGGUUUGUCGCGUCGGCCGUGAAAACUUGGGGCUUAACUCCAAGCUUGCGGUCGAUACGGGCAGACUUGAGUUCGGCAGGGGAGACUGGAAUUCCUGGUGUAGCGGUGAAAUGCGCAGAUAUCAGGAGGAACACCGGUGGCGAAGGCGGGUCUCUGGGCCGACACUGACGCUGAGGAGCGAAAGCGUGGGGAGCGAACAGG
rnacentral:rRNA from 1 species